UGUUGCGGUUAAAAAGCUCGUAGCUGGAUUUCUGUCGAGGACGGUCGGUCCAUCUUAUGGAUGUGCAUCUGAUACGGCCUCGGCAUCCUCUUGGGGAACGUCGUUGUGCUUUAUUGCGUGACACGGUAUUCAAGACUUUUACUUUGAGGAAAUUAGAGUGUUCACGGCAGGCGUUUGCCUUGAAUAUGUUAGCAUGGAAUAAUAAUAUAGGACCCCGGUCCCAUUUUGUUGGUUUCUGGAGCCAGGGUAAUGAUUAAUAGGGAUAAUUGGGGGCACUCGUAUUAUCACGUCAGAGGUGGAAUUCUUGGAUUGUGAUACGACGAACUACUGCGAAAGCAUUUGCCAAGAAUGUUUUCAUUAAUCAAGAACGAAAGUUAGAGGUUCGAAGGCGAUUAGAUACCGCCCUAGUUCUAACCAUAAACGAUGCCAGCUAGCGAUCUGUCGGCGUUUUAUUUUGACUUGACAGGGAGCUUCCGGGAAACCAAAGCGUGUGGGUUCCAGGGGAAGUAUGGUUGCAAAGCUGAAACUUAAAGGAAUUGACGGAAGGGCACCACCAGGAGUGGAGCCUGUGGCUUAAUUUGACUCAACACGGGAAAUCUCACCAGGCCCGGACACCAGAAGGAUUGACAG
rnacentral:rRNA from 1 species